rnacentral:lncRNA from 10 species
UUCUUUUUUUAAUUCAUAUUACUUCUCUCCCAAUUCUGGACUCUAUACUCUCUUUCUUGCCUGGACUGUCAACAGCCUUCACUCUGGACUCUCCAAAUCGGUCUUUCCUCCUAAACUACUUUACUUACACUGCCAUUCACUGAUCGCCUUAGAGAGCUUAAAGGCUUAGGGCCCUUGUCCUGACAUUCAAGGCUCUUGAGCCUUAGCCUUAUAUCUUGCCACUCAGUUGAGUGGGGAUAAUAGAAUCCAUGCUCUUGCUUUCCUCCACACCUAAAUUCAGUAGCGGCUCCAAAAUGGUUAGGAAAACCUUAUGGGGGGCCAUGUGGUUGUAAGAAUUUUUUGUAAACCUUGUGGGUGGGGAGAGUGAAGAGGGUCUGUGAUUUCAAAGCUGCCAGUAACUUCAGUUUUGCAUUGUUGGAGCCUAACCUCACCUUUGAUAGGGGACUAUUGUUUUGGACCAAUUACUUUUUUGAGCCAAUUUGUUAUGCAAAUGUUAACACACAGUCCUUCUUCUGAUAUGCAGAUCUUAUAAUAACAGGUAUAAAACGGUAAUCACUAAUGUUGAUUUGUUUUUAAUCUGUACUAGUCUACACCCUUUUCAAGCCACCUUAUUUGGUUCAUUCGUUCAACAUAUUACUGAGCUCUUCACUCUUCUGGGCACUGCCCCAUGUCCAGGAGAAUAAGCAAAUAAUAAAGAUUGUUAGCAGACUGGGGAGAAGGUGCUAGAAAACUCCUCAUGAUUGCUUAAACUCAGGAGGUGAAGGUUGCAGUGAGCUGAGAUCUCACCACUGCACUCCAGCCUGGGAAACAGAGUGAGACUGUCUCAAAAUAAUAAUAAUAAUAAUAAAGUAUUCAUUGGAUGGGCACGGUGGCUCAUGCCUGUAAUCCCAGAACUUUGGGAGGCCAAAGUGGGUGGAUCACCUGAGGUCAGGAGUUCAAGACCAGCCUGGCCAAUACAGUGAAACCCCUUUUCUACUAAAAAUACAAAAAUUAGCUGGGCGUGGUGGUGCGUGCCUAUAAUCAUAGCUACUCGGGAGACUGAGGCAGGAGAAUCACUUGAACCUGGGAGGCAGAGGUUGCAGUGAGAUGAGAUCGUGCCACUGCACUUCAGCCUGGGCAACAGAGAGAGACUCCAUCUCAAAAAAAAGUAAAAAAUAAAAAUGUAUUCAUUUCAGCAAAAGAUGGGAAACAAAUCAUGUCCAUCAAUAAAGAAUUAUGAAGCAAACCAUGGUAAUCCACCUGAUAGGAAUGCUGUGUAGCCAUUAGAAUGAAUUAUUUUAUUUAUAUCAAUAUGGAACCCUAAGGUAUAUUAUAUUAUGAAAUAAAAAAUGUGAGGAGCCAUACCAUGUGUAGCCUAAUUUAAUUUAUAUUUUAAAGGAUAUAUUGGGCCAGGUGGGGUGGCUCACACCUGUAAUCCCAGCACUUUGAGAGGCCAGUGAGGGAGGAUCGCUAGAGGACUAGAGCCCAAGAAUUCAAGACCAGCCUGGGCAACAUGGUGGGACCUUGUCUCUCUCUCUAAAAAAAAAAAAAAAAAAAAAUACGUUAAAUAUUAUAUGUGCUUAUCUAUACAUGGUAUACAUGGAAUAGCCUGCAAGGAUACAUAAGAAAUUACUAAAAAUGGGUGUCUCUAGGCAAGAAUAGAGAUUGGAUACUACAGGUAGGAGACUUAUUUUUCACUAUAUACCUUUUGGUACUCUGAAUUUUUUAAUCAUCUAGUUUUAAAAAAUAUAAAGCUGGUGCAGUGGCUCACGCCUGUAAUCCCAGCACUUUGGGCGGCCAAGGUGGGCAGAUGACCUGAGGUCAGGAGUUUGAGACCAGCCUUGCCAACAUGGAGAAACCCCAUCUCUAAUAAAAAUACAAAAAAUUAACUGGGUAUGGUGGCUUGCACCUGUUGUCCCAGCUACUUGGGAGGCCGAGGCAGGAGAAUCACUUGAAUCUGGGAGGCAGAGGUUGUAGUGAGCCAAGAUUGCACCACUGCACUCCAGCCUGGGUGACAGUGCAAGACCCCAUCUCAAAAUACAAAUAAAUAAAUAAAUAAACAACUAAAUAAAUAAAAAUAUAAAACCUUUUAAAAGUUAAAGGCUAAAUUUUCUCAUGUAACACAGGUUUAAUAUAUAUGUUUCUCCUUUGGAAGAAAUUUUUCACAAUUAGGAAUAAAAUGUACUUUGAAAACACUUAGGAAUAUUCCAUUAAUACAUAGCCUCAACAGAAUAAAGAAACCCUCUUAGGUGUUGACAAAAUGAAAAACAAAACCUUCAGUAUGCAUUUAAACACUGGCUGGGCAUGGCCUAAAACUUAUAUAUAUAUAUAUAUUUUUUUUUUUUUUUAGAGAUGGAGUCUUGCUCUGUUGCCCAGGCUGGAGUGCAGUGGGGUGAUCUCGGCUCACUGCAAGCUCCGCCUCCUGGGUUCAUGCCAUUCUCCUGCCUCAGCCUCCUGAGUAGCUGGGACUACAGGCGCCCACCACCACGCCCAGCUAAUUUUUGUAUUUUUAGUAGAGACGGGGUUUCACCGUGUUAGCCAGGAUGGUCUCAAUCUCCUGACCUCAUGAUCUGCCCGCCUCAGCCUCCCAAAGUGCUGGGAUUACAGGCGUGAGCCACCACACCCGGCCUAAAACUUACAUUUUAAGCAGGAUUACCUCUUGCCCCAUAUCCAUUGUUCAGGUUCCAGAAAAGUUUAGCUCUUUUUAAAAAGCAAGUUAAACUGGGUGUGGUGGCUUGCAUUUGUAAACCCAGCUACCUGGGAGGCUGAGAUGGGAAGACUGCCUGAGCCCAGGAGUUUGAGGCUGCAGUGAGCCAUGAUCAUACCAAUGCACUCCAGCCUGGGCAACAGAGUGAGGCUCUGUGUACACUUCUAUUUAACAUUGUAUUGGUGGUCCUAACCAAUGUAAUAAGGCAAGAAAAAGGAAUGAGCAUUCAGAUUGGAAAGGAAGAAGUAAAACUGUCUUUAUUUGAAUAUGAUAUGAUUGGUUAUGAUUACAAUCCUAAGAAAUUCACAAAAAGGUUGCAGAAUAUGAGGGUAUUUCUAUAUACCAAUAUUAUAAUCCCAGCUACUCAGGAGGCUGAGGCAGGAGAAUUGCUUGAACUCAGGAGGUGGAGGUUGCAAUGUGCCGUCCCACUACUGCACUUCAGUGUGGGUGAUGGGAUGAGACUCUGUCUCAAAAAAAAAAAAAAAAAAGAAAGUCUUGAAAAACUGAACUUCAUUAAAAUUUAACUUUGUCUCUUCAAAGGACGCUGUGAAGAAAAUUAAAACCCAAGCCACAAACUGAAAGAACAUACAUCAAGCCCUCAAAUAACACAUCCUUUCCGUCCACCUUCUUUUGUCCUUUGGCUCUAACUUUGAUGAGAAAACAAAUGGAUUCCUGGCCUGGGCCACUUCCUGUAUGGGGUUGGUACUUCCUCUGUGGGGUUGGCACUUCCUGUGUGGGGUUGGCACCUUCUCUCCGUAGUCUGUAUGGGUUUGCUUUGGUACUCCAGUUUCCUCUCACAUCCCAAAUAUGGGUACGUUAGGUUCAUUGGGCUGUCUACAUGGUCCCAGUCUGAGUGAGUGUAGAUGUGGUUGUGGGUAUGCACCCACCCUGAGAUGGGAUGGUGUCCUUUCAGGGCUGUUUCCAACCUGAGCCCUGAGCUGUUGGAGAGGCUCUGGCCACCUUCAACCCGGAACUGGAAUAAGCAGAUUGGGAAAGGAAUGAAGAAAUUUAUACAAAUUAUAGUAAAAUAAAAGUUUGUAAAGUAUAGGAUAAUUAUACAAAUGCAUGACAAUAAGUGAUGUGACACAAGAGCGCUCAGAGAGCCGCCAUUUUCAUCAGUGUUUGCUUUGGGUGAGGGGAGGCACUUUCAACAAUUUUUGCUUUGCAAACAUUUAUUCCUUAAUUUAACCCAUGGCCACUGUGACUGCCUUCAUCACUGAUUCCCCCAAAAUUAGGUAAAUAAUUAUCUUACUUGUUUUUAUUUAUCUUUCUUAAAUGAAUACAUAGCUUCCAUUUAUUUGUUUAAUAUUAAAAGUGUUGGCCAGGCACGGUGGCUCACGCUUGUAAUCCCAGCAUUUUGGGAGGUUGAGGCGGGCGGAUCACCUGAGGUCGGGAGUUUGAGACCUCACCUGAGGUCAGGAGUUCGAGACCAACCUGGCCAACAUGACGAAACCCCAUCUCUACUAAAAGUACAACAAUUAGCCAGGCAUGGUGGCAGGCACUGGUAAUCCCAGCCCAGGUGGCUGAGGCAGGAGAAUCGCCUGAACCCAGGAAGUGGAGGUUGUGGUGAGCUGAGAUCAUGCCAUUGCACUCCAGCCUGGACAACAAAGUGAGACUCCAUCUCAAAAAAAAAAAAAAAAGAAGCAUGCCUGCAAAAAAAGAGAAAUUUGAAAGUUAGCUUUUUACCUAUGGUUUUCUGAAAACUAAAGUAAAUAAGUAAAUAGGAAUUCUUAGACAGAGCAAUCAGGCAAGAAAAAAAAAUAAAGGGCAUCCGAAUUGGAAAAGGAAGUCAAACUAUCUUUUUGCCAAUGAUACAAUCAUAUACCUAGAAAAUCUUAAAGACUCCUCCAAAAGAUGCCUAUAUUUGAUAAAUGAAUUCAGUAAACUCUCAGGGUACAAAAUCAAUGUACACGUC